AUUGAACGCUGCGGCAGGCCUAACACAUGCAAGUCGAGCGGAUGAAGGGAGCUUGCUCCUGGAUUCAGCGGCGGACGGGUGAGUAAUGCCUAGGAAUCUGCCUGGUAGUGGGGGAUAACGUCCGGAAACGGGCGCUAAUACCGCAUACGUCCUGAGGGAGAAAGUGGGGGAUCUUCGGACCUCACGCUAUCAGAUGAGCCUAGGUCGGAUUAGCUAGUUGGUGGGGUAAAGGCCUACCAAGGCGACGAUCCGUAACUGGUCUGAGAGGAUGAUCAGUCACACUGGAACUGAGACACGGUCCAGACUCCUACGGGAGGCAGCAGUGGGGAAUAUUGGACAAUGGGCGAAAGCCUGAUCCAGCCAUGCCGCGUGUGUGAAGAAGGUCUUCGGAUUGUAAAGCACUUUAAGUUGGGAGGAAGGGCAGUAAGUUAAUACCUUGCUGUUUUGACGUUACCAACAGAAUAAGCACCGGCUAACUUCG
rnacentral:rRNA from 1 species